AGAGUUUGAUCCUGGCUCAGGACGAACGCUGGCGGCGUGCUUAACACAUGCAAGUCGAACGAUGAACCACUUCGGUGGGGAUUAAUGGCGAACGGGUGAGUAACACGUGGGCAAUCUGCCCUUCACUCUGGGACAAGCCCUGAAACGGGGUCUAAUACCGGAUACCACUUCCACUCGCAUGGGUGGGGGUUGAAAGCUCCGGCGGUGAAGGAUGAGCCCGCGGCCUAUCAGCUUGUUGGUGAGGUAAUGGCUCACCAAGGCGACGACGGGUAGCCGGCCUGAGAGGGCGACCGGCCACACUGGGACUGAGACACGGCCCAGACUCCUACGGGAGGCAGCAGUGGGGAAUAUUGCAUAAUGGGCGAAAGCCUGAUGCAGCGACGCCGCGUGAGGGAUGACGGCCUUCGGGUUGUAAACCUCUUUCAGCAGGGAAGAAGCGAAAGUGACGGUACCUGCAGAAGAAGCGCCGGCUAACUACGUGCCAGCAGCCGCGGUAAUACGUAGGGCGCAAGCGUUGUCCGGAAUUAUUGGGCGUAAAGAGCUCGUAGGCGGUCUGUCGCGUCGGAUGUGAAAGCCCGGGGCUUAACCCCGGGUCUGCAUUCGAUACGGGCAGACUAGAGUGUGGUAGGGGAGAUCGGAAUUCCUGGUGUAGCGGUGAAAUGCGCAGAUAUCAGGAGGAACACCGGUGGCGAAGGCGGAUCUCUGGGCCAUUACUGACGCUGAGGAGCGAAAGCGUGGGGAGCGAACAGGAUUAGAUACCCUGGUAGUCCACGCCGUAAACGGUGGGAACUAGGUGUUGGCGACAUUCCACGUCGUCGGUGCCGCAGCUAACGCAUUAAGUUCCCCGCCUGGGGAGUACGGCCGCAAGGCUAAAACUCAAAUGAAUUGACGG
rnacentral:rRNA from 1 species